AACUAACUUAUAACAUGGAAGUCAGUUUCUUCUAUUGUGAAAACAUCUCAUCAGCUUUAACAUAGUGGAUAAACUCUGAUUAUGUGAAAGUUGACUUUUUGUGCAUAUCAAAUGAAAGUUGGUGACCACUACUUUAUCUGAGAGUUAGCUCUAGUAAGCACAUCAACCUGAAUUUUAGUGGGUAACCACUAAAAUCUAGAAAGUCAGGUCUAGAUAGUGCAUCAACUGAGACCGAUGGUGGCCAUUUAUAACAGAAAAGUCAGCUUAAAAGAGUGUCACAACAGCAAUAUAUUGGACAGCAAAUCGUAUCAUAAGAUCAUUGAAUCAUCAUUCAUUAUGAACUUUGAACAAGAAAAGUAUAUAUCUAUAUAUAUAUAUAUAUGCAAUAGAUUCAUUCUGGUUUGUUGUAAAUAAAAAGCAAUUUAUCCAUAACUGAUUAAUUAACAGACAAUCUAGUGUCAGAUGAGAAAUUUUGCACAUUUUGUAAUUUGCCAUAAUAUGUGAUGUUUCUUUUUGAUAUAUUUUUUUUUUCAAUUUUCUGAUACAUGUAACAGGAACAACUUGGAUAUGGGGGGUGGGGGUAUAGAUGGAUAUUGUUUGCUAAUUGGUUAUACCAAGGCUUGAAGAGAUAGAAAAUGUGAUAUAAAGGAGUUUGAAAAUGUAUCAUUUAAAAGGAUGCAUUUAUAAUAUAUAAAGAUAAACUGUAACUUAGUUUGUGGUCAAACAGUGAUUAUGAAACUAUAUCAGAUUGAGAUAUAUAACAUGCGUCACCAACGACAAGCGGAGGCGUUGAUGUUGGGUCCUUUUUUUUUUUUUUACCUUUAUUUGAAAUUGCUUCAUGUGUCUUAACUGCUUCAAUUUACAUGCAUUUAAAUAGAUUGAUGUGGAUUCUAAUAUUUUGUUAUAAUUGUGUUAUUUUUGUUUUUUUUUGGUAAUCCCCAUAGUUUUUAUUUUGAAAUUGUAAAUGUGAUGUUUUUUGAUAUAAUGUAUCACAAAUCAUAGGGUUUUGAGAAUAUGUAUCACCAUUAUGAUUUUAAGAUACGUGUACUAAGUGUAUGUUUGCCUGUUAUGUUGUACAGCUGCCGUGUAUCUAGCAUUGCAGUUUCAUUACAUAUGAACAGUUGUUAGUCAGAAUUAUAUUAACUGGUUCCAUUCAUCAAUAAAUGCUGAAAUAUUUCUAC
rnacentral:misc_RNA from 1 species